UACGUAGGGGGCAAGCGUUGUCCGGAAUCAUUGGGCGUAAAGAGCGUGUAGGCGGCUUGGUAAGUCCGCUGUGAAAACUCGAGGCUCAACCUCGAGACGCCGAUGGAAACCAUCAGACUAGAGUCCGGAAGAGGAGAGUGGAAUUCCUGGUGUAGCGGUGAAAUGCGCAGAUAUCAGGAAGAACACCCGUGGCUAAGGCGGCUCUCUAGUACGGUACUGACGCUGAGACACGAAAGCGUGGGGAGCGAACAGG
rnacentral:rRNA from 1 species